CAGAUCUACCCGUAUGAUGCUCUGGUGGUUUCUGUCAGAGGCCAGCAGCGCCUCCCCACUGAUGUGGACCGAGCCAGACUGGAGCGUCAUCUUUCCCCUGAAGAAUUUCACAGAGUCUUCGGCAUGUCCAUGUCAACGUUUGACCGUCUCGCUCAGUGGAAAAAGAAUGAAAUGAAGAAACGUGUCCGACUUUUCUGAAUCGUCUGACCUUCCAAAGUUCUACUAACAUCGGCGCGCUCAGCUCCCACAGCUGAUACACGAUGCCCAGGACAGUGCUGGUUCCCAACGAGGAUCAGAAUGAAACAUGUUCUGUUCCACUGAUGGCAUAUGAGAUGAUAUGAUCAAAGCUCCUCCUGUUUCUUUCUAGCGAUACAUGAAGUCAGACUGUUACUGACACGGAGACACUGAGGUUGAGCUGCUUCUGCCUCCAUAAGCAGCCGAUGGCUUUGAUUUAAAACGAGCCUCACAGUGAACAUUUGACAAGCAGAUCAGACUUUACUACUUUGUGACGAAACAUAUGGAUUUAGAUUCAAUAAGAAGUGAACAAACGCAGCAUUAGAGAUGCACACAUGUUGGUUUUAUACUGUGCAAUUUCAAACACCGGAAACCAAAGGUUUACGUCUGCAUUUUAAGUUUUGACUUUGAUGUUGAAAAGGCCAUAUAAUGCACUUUUUUUUUUUUUUUUCUGCUGAGGAAUUAAUGCUUAAUUUGAGUUAAACAUGAAUAAGUGAGAUUCUUUUAUCUUGGUUUCAAAAAAGUGUGAGAGUUAUGCUGCUGUCCAGGGUGCACCCACAUUAUGCUCAGAGUAAUCUGAAGUGGAAACGAUCUUUCCUUUCACGUGGAUAAUCAAAUUAGCAAAAUGAACAAGAGUGUGAAACAUCUAAUUGUAGGUGAAGCUGUCGUAGCAUCUGAUCAACAAGAAAAUCACUUCAUUGGAUGAAUAUGCAGAAGAGAAAUGGGAAGAAAAGGAAGUAAUGUGUAGAAAGGUCUGGUGCUGGGUUUGAUAAAUGUUACAGAGAAUAAAGAGUUUCCACAAAACCA
rnacentral:lncRNA from 1 species